UAUCCAGAUCACCUGCAUAGUCUGAAUCAAGAUAUCCAAGAAGACUACCAGAAGUCUCACAGCUCCUGUCAUAGACCAAGCCAAUAUCUGCACCUUCACUACCUUUAUAAAAAACAGUUCCAGCAGAAGACGAAGGGAUGGCACUUGCUUUCCUAACCUUCACGAACAGAGGUUAUUUUAACCUACUAAGCAUUUCCCCUUUCUCUAAGACCCACG
rnacentral:lncRNA from 1 species